UACGAAGGGGGCUAGCGUUGCUCGGAAUGACUGGGCGUAAAGGGCGCGUAGGCGGUUUGUACAGUCAGGUGUGAAAUUCCCGGGCUCAACCUGGGGGCUGCACUUGAUACGUAUGGACUUGAGUGAGGAAGAGGGUCGUGGAAUUCCCAGUGUAGAGGUGAAAUUCGUAGAUAUUGGGAAGAACACCGGUGGCGAAGGCGGCAUCCUGGACCGAUAUUGACGCUGAGGAGCGAAAGCCAGGGGAGCAAACGGG
rnacentral:rRNA from 1 species